AGAAUAAUACCCUAAAGGCAACAGAUCCCAUCUGGCCUUAGAAGCUAAGAAGGAUCAACCCUUAUUAGUACUUGGAUGGGAGUCUUGCAAGGAAUGUGAGGGCU
rnacentral:rRNA from 1 species